rnacentral:sRNA from 1 species
GAGAACGGAACUUCGCCAGAGAGAUGAAGUCAGUUCCCGGCGUUUCGGGGAGGAAACGCUCUUUAAAACAGAAGAGGCCCGGCAGUGUGUUUAUCCCCCAUUGCCGGGCCUUUCUAAU